rnacentral:rRNA from 1 species
AGCACGGCAGUAGCAAUACUGUGGGUGGCGAGUGGCGGACGGGUGAGGAAUGCGUCGGAAUCUGCCCAGUUGUGGGGGAUAACUAGCCGAAAGGUUAGCUAAUACCGCAUACGACCGAGAGGUGAAAGCGGGGGACCGUAAGGCCUCGCGCGAUUGGAUGAGCCGACGCCGGAUUAGCUUGUUGGUGGGGUAAAGGCCUACCAAGGCGACGAUCCGUAGCUGGUCUGAGAGGAUGAUCAGCCACACUGGAACUGAGACACGGUCCAGACUCCUACGGGAGGCAGCAGUGGGGAAUAUUGGACAAUGGGCGCAAGCCUGAUCCAGCAAUGCCGCGUGUGUGAAGAAGGCCUUCGGGUUGUAAAGCACUUUUAUCAGGAACGAAAAGCGGAGGGUUAAUACCCUUUCGUGCUGACGGUACCUGAGGAAUAAGCACCGGCUAACUUCGUGCCAGCAGCCGCGGUAAUACGAAGGGUGCAAGCGUUAAUCGGAAUUACUGGGCGUAAAGCGUGCGUAGAUGGCUGAUUAAGUCGGAUGUGAAAGCCCCGGGCUCAACCUGGGAACGGCAUCCGAUACUGGUGAGCUAGAGUGCGGUAGAGGAGAGCGGAAUUCCCGGUGUAGCGGUGAAAUGCGUAGAGAUCGGGAGGAACAUYCGUGGCGAAGCGGCUCUCUGGACCAGCACUGACGUUGAGGCACGAAAGCGUGGGGAGCAACAGGAUUAGAUACCCUGGUAGUCCACGCCCUAAACGAUGUCGACUGGAUGUUGGGCACACUUUGGUGCUCAGUAUCGAAGCUACGCGUAA